ensembl:lncRNA
CGCAGACAGGACUGUGGCCCUGACAAUACUAUGAGCUGGCUGGGAAGAGGCUUGCUGCUGGCUUCUCUGCUCUUGGCUCGCUGGCCUCGGGAUGGAGAUUUGGGGGAACAUUCGUAGCAGCGGCUGAAGCCAUUUAUUUCGAGGAUCCUCCCUGUUUCUCUCCUACUCAGCAUUGACUGCCAGCUGACGUUUUUUCCUUGAAAGAACGGAAAGAUUCUUUCGGAAGCUCCAAGACCGAGAUGCACCACUUGUAGGAACCAUUCCUGGAUAGUAAAUUCCAGACAUGAUGGUGAGGACUCUUGGCCAUGGCCAUCAGAAUUGAUGUCUUUACGUUUUGAGCCUUGGACCUAUCAGCUGAUGGUAAAAGAAGGGGAACGAGAAAAAAAGUGAAAAGAAAAUGAAGGCAAUGCGAUCUUCCCAGCCCAGGGAUCGAACCCAUGUCUCCUGCAUUAGCAGGUGGAUCUUCUACUGUGCCUGUCCGUUAAGCUUACACAUGAAGCCAUCCUGUCAACAGACUGUU